rnacentral:lncRNA from 1 species
CUCGACUAAAUUUAAUGAAAUGUGUAUAUAAUGCUUAUUACCUCUAAACUCAGUUUAAGUUCAAUUUUUGGCAGCUUCACUUUUACAGUUCUUGAGUUAUAUGGUAGCGGGGGCAUCAUCUGUGUCCCUUUGGACACAUUCACCUUUUUUUUUUUUAGAAGUUUAUAUAUAUAUAUAAAAUUGAGAAUGGAAAUGGGGAAUGUGUCAAAGAGACAACAACCCAACCAAAUAAAAAACAACAGCAGAGGGUCACCAACAGGUCUUAAACAAAUAUAUACUAGUCCAGUGAUAAUGAACGCCAUACUAAUUUCCAAAUUGUACACAAGAAACUAAAAUUAAAAUAAUACAAGACUAACAAAGGCCAGAGGCUCCUGACUUGGGACAGCGCAAAAAUGCGGCGGGGUUAAACAUGUUUGUGAGAUCUCAACCCUUCCCCUAUACCUCUAACCAAUGUAGUAAAGUAAACGCAUAACAAUACGCACAUUAAAAUUCAGUUAAAGAGAAAUCCGAGUCUGAUGUCAGAAGAUGUAACCAAAGAAAAUAAACAAAAUGACAAUAAUACAUAAAUAACAACAGACUACUAGCAGUUAACUGACAUGCCAGCUCCAGACUUCAAUUAAACUGACUGAAAGAUUAUGAUUUCAUCAUAUGAAUUAUAU